rnacentral:misc_RNA from 1 species
GAUGAAGAACGUAGCGAAAUGCGAUAAGUAAUGUGAAUUGCAGAAUUCCGUGAAUCAUCGAGUCUUUGAACGCACAUUUCGCCCCCUGGUAUUCCGGGGGGCAUGCCUGUCCGAGCGUCAUUGCUGCCCUCAAGCACGGCUUGUGUGUUGGGCCUCCGUCCUCCUCCCGGGGGACGGGCCCGAAAGGCAGCGGCGGCACCGCGUCCGGUCCUCGAGCGUAUGGGGCUUCGUCACCCGCUCUUGUAGGCCCGGCCGGCGCUUGCCGACACAUCAAUCUUUUUUCCAGGUUGACCUCGGAUCAGGUAGGGAUACCCGCUGAACUUAAGCAUAUCAAUAAGCGGAGGA